CUUCAGCGAACCGAGCCACAGCGGCGCCUCGCGGUCCUGGCCGUAGGUGGCCAGCACGGCCUGGGCCUC
rnacentral:antisense_RNA from 1 species